rnacentral:rRNA from 1 species
GACGAACUGUCCUAACGUUGUUCGGAAUCACUGGGCUUAAAGGGCGCGUAGGCGGUCCGACAAGUCAGGGGUGAAAUCCUGGCAGCUUAACUGCAGAAGUGCCUUGAUACUGUCGGUCUUGAGGGAGAUAGGGGUGUGCGGAACUUCCAGUGGAGCGGUGAAAUGCGUUGAUAUUGGAAGGAACGCCGGAGGCGAAAGCGGCGCACUGGAUCUCUUCUGACGCUGAGGCGCGAAAGCUAGGGGAGCAAACGGG